rnacentral:rRNA from 1 species
UUUAGACACCCAUGGCAGACGGCUGAGUAACGCGUGGGAAUUUGCCCUUUGGUCGAGCAUAACCUGUCGAAAGACAGGAUAAUUCUCGAUAGUCUCUUCGGAGUAAAAAUUUAUUGCCAAAGGAGAAGCCCGCGUUCGAUUAGCUUGUUGGUGAGGUAAUGGCUCACCAAGGCUUUGAUCGAUAGCUGGUCUGAGAGGAUGACCAGCCAGACUGGGACUGAGACACGGCCCAGACUCC